CGAAGUCAAGAGGAGCUUGCUCUUUUUGACUUAGUGGCGAACGGGUGAGUAACGCGUGAGGAACCUGCCUCAAAGAGGGGGACAACAGUUGGAAACGACUGCUAAUACCGCAUAAGCCCACAGCUCCGCAUGGAGCAGGGGGAAAAGGAGCAAUCCGCUUUGAGAUGGCCUCGCGUCCGAUUAGCUAGUUGGUGAGGUAACGGCCCACCAAGGCGACGAUCGGUAGCCGGACUGAGAGGUUGAUCGGCCACAUUGGGACUGAGACACGGCCCAGACUCCUACGGGAGGCAGCAGUGGGGAAUAUUGCACAAUGGGGGAAACCCUGAUGCAGCGACGCCGCGUGGAGGAAGAAGGUCUUCGGAUUGUAAACUCCUGUUGUUGGGGAAGAUAAUGACGGUACCCAACAAGGAAGUGACGGCUAACUACGUGCCAGCAGCCGCGGUAAAACGUAGGUCACAAGCGUUGUCCGG
rnacentral:rRNA from 1 species